rnacentral:rRNA from 1 species
GAUGAACGCUAGCUACAGGCUUAACACAUGCAAGUCGAGGGGAAACGAUAGAGAAAGCUUGCUUUUUCUAGGCGUCGACCGGCGCACGGGUGAGUAACGCGUAUCCAACCUGCCCAUCACUUGGGGAUAACCUUGUGAAAGUAAGACUAAUACCCAAUGACGUCUCUAGAAGACAUCUGAAAGAGAUUAAAGAUUUAUCGGUGAUGGAUGGGGAUGCGUCGGAUUAGCUUGUUGGCGGGGUAACGGCCCACCAAGGCGACGAUCAGUAGGGGUUCUGAGAGGAAGGUCCCCCACAUUGGAACUGAGACACGGUCCAAACUCCUACGGGAGGCAGCAGUGAGGAAUAUUGGUCAAUGGGCGAGAGCCUGAACCAGCCAAGUAGCGUGCAGGAUGACGGCCCUAUGGGUUGUAAACUGCUUUUAUAAGGGAAUAAAGUGAGUCUCGUGAGACUUUUUGCAUGUACCUUAUGAAUAAGGACCGGCUAAUUCCGUGCCAGCCGCCGCAGUAA